rnacentral:rRNA from 1 species
UACGGAGGGUGCAAGCGUUAUCCGGAUUCACUGGGUUUAAAGGGUGCGUAGGCGGGCAGGUAAGUCAGUGGUGAAAUCUCCGAGCUUAACUCGGAAACUGCCAUUGAUACUAUUUGUCUUGAAUAUUGUGGAGGUAGGCGGAAUAUGUCAUGUAGCGGUGAAAUGCUUAGAUAUGACAUAGAACACCAAUUGCGAAGGCAGCUUACUACACAAUGAUUGACGCUGAGGCACGAAAGCGUGGGGAUCAAACAGG